GUACACGCUGUGACUAGCAUAUCAAUAAGCGGAGGAAAAGAAACUAACAAGGAUUCCCCUAGUAACGGCGAGUGAAGCGGGAAGAGCUCAAAUUUGAAAUCUUAAAGGGUUUCCCUUUACGAAUUGUAGUUUAAAGAAGUGUUUUCUGUUGAGGUUUUGGUAAAAGUUCUUUGGAAUAGGACAUCAUAGAGGGUGAGAAUCCCGUAUUUGACCUUUACUUUCAACUUUGUGAUACACUUUCAAAGAGUCGGAUUGUUUGGGAAUGCAGUCCAAAAUGGGUGGUAAAUUUCAUCUAAAGCUAAAUAUUGGCGAGAGACCGAUAGCGAACAAGUACCGUGAGGGAAAGAUGAAAAGAACUUUGAAAAGAGAGUUAAACAGUACGUGAAAUUGUCAAAAGGGAAGCGUUUGACACCAGUGUUGUUUUUCUGAAAAUCAAUUAAAGAACUGUUUAUGCUAAGCUGUUUAGACUUUAUCAGCUAUCUGUUUAGUUUUGAGCUUUUCUUUAAUGCACUUUUCAGUUAACAAGUCAACAUCAAUUUCUUUUGCUGUAAAAAAGCUUGAGGAAGGUGGCUUGAGAUUCGUCUUAAGUGUUUAUAGCCUCUUGCCUAUGCAGUCGGAGAGAUUGAGGUCUGCAGCGUAGAUCCUUCGGGGCUAAAUGCAUUUGUGCUAAGUUAUAAGCAUUUUAUAGACAACUUGUUGACUAUGAUUUGUCUUGUAGCUUACUCGCUUAUGUUAUUUUACCUACGCUUAGGAUGUUGACGCGCGUGUGUGCGUG
rnacentral:rRNA from 1 species